CAAAUUAUAGCAUAUAAUAAUGCUUUUUAUUUACACUAAAAAAAAAAUACUUAGUAUUUAAUUUGA
rnacentral:tRNA from 1 species